rnacentral:sRNA from 1 species
UAUUUCUUCUUUUUCCCGGGUGGAAGCUUGCUGGUAUUGGAUCUCUUUGCCCGUGUGGUUCUUUCUGGAACAUUUUCCAGCCCCCAGCCAUGCCUUAUGGCAUAUUUCUUUAAAAAAAAAUCCACCAAAAAUUCAUAAAAUGUUUUAAAAUUUCUAAACUUUCUCCUAAUAUUUUCUUGACACCUUAUCUCUAGUUUACAGUUAUUUGGGAUAUUUUAAGGCAACUUUCUAUUUUAAAAUAAUUUUUCUUUGGAAUGUUUUUUGGUUGACUCUUCUGGUUUUUUCGUGGUGUAAUUUUCUUUUCCCCCUCCUUUUCUGUGUAUUAUGCCCAUCGGGGCUGUGGAUACCUGGUUUUAAUAAUUGUUAUUUAUUUUUUUGCCCAACGGGGCCGUGGAUACCUGCCUUUUAAUUCUUUUUUUAAAGACUUUGCCCAUCGGGGCCGCGGAUACCUGCUUUUAAUUUUUUUUUCCCCUUAGCCCAUCGGGGCCUCGGAUACCUGCUGUGUCCCCCUCUUUCUCCAACCCCUUGGCCCAUCAGGGUAAUGGAUACCUGCUUUUUUAUUUAAAAAAAAAUUUUUUUUGGCCCAUCGGGGCCUCGGAUACCUGCUUUAAUUUUUUUUUUUCCUUGCCCAUCGGGGCCUCGGAUACCUGCUUUAUUAUUUUUUUUUCCUUGCCCAUCGGGGCCGUGGAUACCUGCUUAGAUUUUUUUUUUUCAUCACCCAUCGGACCUUUGUAUGGAUGGAAAAGUGUUGGGUUUUGUGGUUCGUUGUACUGUCUGGAAUGUCUACAAAAUUUUGCUGCUAAUCGUUUGGUGUUGUGUGAGUGGACCUACGGCUUUGGUUUGGAGAUGACUUUGCAGUUAGGCUAGGGGGUUGGUCAGGCUGGGGAGGAAAGAUGGCGGCCACUUGAGAUUUGCCGCCCAGCUCGGCUGAGGGCUACUUGUUUAUGCUAAGUGUAAACUAGGGAGGCAAGAUGAAUAGUGGGACAGGCAGAGGAAAUGAAUAUGCAUUGUAUGAGCUACGUGUUUUGAAUUAGUCGAUUUGGGUCUUGUUAGGACCUUUGCAUGGAUUGUGGUAUCAUGAGGUGGAAAAACGGGGUCAUCCUGUGUCAUAUUACAAGAGGCUAAUAGAAAAUGAGAGGGAGAAGGUUUAGGCGCAGGGUUCAAAAUGGCGAUUUUGACUUUGCAGCAUUGCUUAGCAUGGCUCUCUGCUUUGUUAGAGUGUUCAAAAUGGCGGACCCACUUUGCCGCAGUGUUCCAGUGGCGGGAAGCCACAUUAUGGGUGUCUUUGUUCUAGCGUGCAGCAUGGCGGUGGAAAUAUUCUGUUACAUAGCAAAAGAUGGCGGCUCAAGUACUUGCCGCAAUCGAAAACAUGGCGGGCCUUUGUCUUUGCCGUGUGCAUUUCCUGACAAAUUUUGCCGCAGGGACAAUAUGGCUGACCUUGUCAUGUGGAUAGCAUGGCAGUCUGUCACGUGGACGUCAUGGCAGGGGUGUUUGACCGUUACAUUCUUGGCGGGCUUUGCACCAGGAGGGCCUGCCGCAUUGUUCAAGAUGGCGGGCUUUGCCGCGAAAAAGUGCAGGAGGGAUUGGCAGCGUUGGAUUGCCGCCCGACACAUCCAAUCAGAAAGGGUGGUGGAAUUGGUCACAGACAGUUAGUGGAGGAUGGAAUUAGUCGGAGUUAGCAUAGCACCUCGCUACCGUCUCUAUUCAGCCAGUCAGCACCGGCCACGUUUGUACUACUCCCAGUGGGUGGUACCCAAGGUCUUUCCAAGGACGUUUGGCCUUUCCACCUCCCUCCCCUCUCACUGGCUCCCUCCCCUCCAGCAUUACCACCUGCUGUGCUGAACUUUAGGCUAUAUGGGCUGAACCUCACACCAUUCCUCUGCAUUGGUGGCCUAAGGCUAACUUACUACCCCUUCCCCCCCUCCCCCUCCCCCGCCUCUGCUCUUCUGCACUGUGGCCAGGGGCAGUGCUCCAUGCCUGCCAAGUGUGAACAUGGCGGUGAGUCGUGGCAAGGACCAGAAUGGAUCGCAGAUGAUCGUUGGCCAACAGGUGGCGGAAGAGGAAUCCCUGUCUUCCUCAAGAGGAACACCUACCCCGUGGCUAAUGCUGGGGUCGGAUUUUGAUUUCUAUUUAUUUCUUGGAUGUCAGUCAUAUAUAGUUUGAUUAUGUGGUUUGCUAGUGUUCGAUUUAAGCCUUAAGUGACUACUAUGGUAAUGUAUUUAGGGACUUUGUUAUUUGUAGAAUUCAUUUCAGUUACAUUUAGUGGGUUUUCAUUUUGGGGUUCCUUUGAAAUUCCUUAAAGUUUUCAAUUUCUUUUUUUUACAAAUGCUUACAUUUCUUUAUCUUUAUAUAGUCAAAGUCAAUAAUUUGGCAUUUAUAAGUUUUUACUACUUUUUUACUUUGAAAUUGACUUAAUGAACUACUUCCUUUUGGAUUUUUGAAGUCUUAUAGUACAAAAAUAGUUAAUUUAAAAUUUAACAUUAUGACCAAAUAAUCUUUGAAGGUCCUCUUCUGUCCAGGUCUUGCUUUGUUCCCAUCCUUAAUGCUGCACUGAUUGAAUAAUGACCUACCUAUCUGCAGAAAACUUGAAUUGCUGUGGACUUCUUCUACUCUAAUUUAUUAUAUUGGAGUAUUAUUGCCCAUAAUUUCAAUUUUCUGUGGUGACCUGUCUCCACAGGCCCCAGCUCCUCUCCACACCUCUUCCCAGCAAACCCAUAUUUAGCCCCAGCCCCUGCCCCUGCCCCUGCCCCAGCCCUUGCCCCUGCCCCAGCCCCUGCCCCUGCCCCAGCCCCAGCCCCUGCCCCUGCCCCUGCCCCUGCCCCAGCCCCAGCCCCAACCAAGCCCCAGCCCCAGCCCCAGCCAAGCCCCUGUCCCACUCCUGUUUCUCCCUAAAGCCAGUCCAGUUUGUAUUGAUUUGAUGCUAAAAAUAAGUUUCAGUUGCUCUUCCAUCAGACUGGGAUACCUUGUCUGCCUCUAGCAUUGCUGAUCUUGAGUGCUGACUACCUGAGUCACCAUUUUCAAUUAAUGUACACAAUCCCAUUUGCCCAUUAUCUCAUGUUAGAACAAAGAAUUUGUGCAAUAAUGUUAGGAAAUUUAAUUGUGAGCUUCAUAUCAGACAAUUAUUGUCCAUAAAUCUGCUUACUCAUCAUCUCAAUCUCCUGCCUUUAAGGAAGGAGAAACCAUUCCUCUGUCAUUGCUGCAGUAGUCAAAAUCCCAGUUUUCUGGAAAGUGCAUAUAUACUGUGCUGACCACCUAAACUCUUUGCACUCAGUGAAAUUCUAAUUGUCCAUAAUCCUGCAUUGGACUAAAUCCCAAUUUAAAAACCCUUUUGCAUUCAGCAGUCCCAGUUGUCAUACCCUUGUCUGUUAAACAAAGGCAUCCUACCAUUUUUACCCUCUUGUGAGUCCUCCUGUUCUUGGACAAUUAAAGUACCAAAUUGUAAUUGUACAUUGUCUCACUCAUUAAUCAAUGACCUUCUGUCCCGUUUGCAUUGCUAUUAGGCAGUGCUGACUAUCUGAGACCAUGUUCCUUGAAUUAUUAUUAUUGACUAGAAUACCAAUUGUUCAUUACACAAAUCCUUUGCAGCUUCUUUGCACUAUAAGGGAAGUGCCCAUCACUAAAGUCCUUUACUUCGGAAUAUUAAUGGAUACAAUCAUUACUGGUCAUGGUCCUGCCUACCAGAUAAGACCCACCCAUGCUCUUUUCAUUGUUCUUAGGUAGUGUGGACUACCUACCACCUUGCAUUAAUAUUUAAAAUCCUCAUUGUCCAUUGUCCCACUGUUAGCCUAGGAUAUCUCUUACCUCUAUGCCAUUUCUUCUAAGGAGUUCUGAUUACCCUAAGUCCUUUCUCUUAAACAAUUUAUGUGCAUAAUUGCAUAUACCUGUGGUCUCAUGCAAUUAAAAAUUAAAUCCUACACUCUGUGGAAUAUUGCUAGGUAGUGCAAAUUAUUCAAGGACUCAGCUUUGGGACAGUUAAUCCGCACAGUUGCGGUUGUCCAGAGUCCCAUCCAUUUUAGUGGGCCACUGUGUCCCAUUUGGGUGCUAGGUGUGUCAGGAGGACCCUUCUGUUGAAUUGAUAAUGUGCAUAAUUGCAUUUGUUCAUGUCCUGUGAACUAGUAACAUCCACCUGCUUUGUAUUCCAGCAGGGGACCCUUUUUAACUUAAGAGCGCUGCACUGGGACACUCUACCUGUGCAAACCUAAUUGAUUAGACCUGAGCCUUUUGUAUUAGGAACCCUGCAUUAUCUUUACACCUAAAAGGUGCUAAUUGCCUAAGGCCAUUUCCUGCCCGAACGACUGUGUUUAAACUAGAGUCUCACACUCAAUAACCGCCUUUGCAUAAGAGUAGAGGAUACUUGUGACAGUUAAGUGGUUUGAUUGCAGCUACAGACCCUGCUGUUAGACUAGCAUCCAUUCUCCUCCUAGAUGAUUCACAUGACCACAAUCCGUACUAGGGACUGUUAAUGGGUUUAAAUGCAGCUACAGUCCUUUAUGUUAAUCUAGGAUCCCAUCCCCAACUCACUCUCUUUUCAUUACUGCAGGGCUUACAUAGGACUUGUUAACGACCUUUAUUGCACUACUGUCGCUUCUGUUAGUCCAAGACCCCAUAUCCUCCUAAAUCCUGUAUUACCGAAAGAAUAUAAGGGACUGUUAAAGUGCUUAAAGCAGUUACAGUCCCUUAUGUUUAUCUAGGACCCAUCCUCAACUAACCCCUUUUGCAUGACUGCAGAGGGUUCUUGGGACUGUUAAUGGGCUUUAUUGCAGCUACAGUCCCUUCUAUUAAUCUGGAUUCCUAUCCACUCCUACACAAUUUGCAUUACCACAGACUAUACAAGGGACUGUUAAUGUGUUUAAAUGGAGCUACAGUUCCUUAUGUUAAACUAGGAUCCCAUUUCCACCUAACUCCCUUUUCAUUAAUGCAGAGCCUACAUGGGACUAGUGGGCUUAUUUGCACUACUGUCCCUUCUUUUAUUCUAGGAUCCCAUCCCUCCUACUGGAUUUGCACUACCCUAAAAUGUAUGAGAGACUGUGGAUGUGCUUAAAUGUAUCUACAGUCCCUUUUGUUAACCUAUGAUCCCGUUCCCAUCUAACACCCUUUGCAUGACUGCAGAGGGUACUUGGGAUAGUUAAUGCGCUCAAUUAGAGCUACAGAUCCUUCUGUUAGUGGAGAUUCCCAUGCCCUCCUACUCCAUUUGCAUUACCAAAGGGAGUACAAGGGACUGUUAAUGGGCCUAAAUGCAGCUACAGUCCCUAUGUUAACCUAGGAUCCCAUUUCCACCUAACUCCCUUUUCAUUAAUACAGAGCCUACAUGGGACUUAAUGGGCUUUAUUGUACUACUGUCCCUUCCAUUAAUCUAGCAUCCCAUCCCCACAUAAUUCCCUUUGCAUUACAAGGGAGGAUACAAGGGACUUUUAAUGGGCUUAAAUGCAGGUUCAGUCCCUUUCUUAUUUUACCUAGGAUCCCAUUCCCACAUAAUUCCCUUUGCAAAACCACAGAGUACAAGGUACUGUUACUUACUGUACUUAAAAGCAGCUAUAAGAUACUCAUGUUGCAACAGAAGAAAGGGUGGGGGAAAAACUGUAAUUGCAAUGUAUACAUGUAAGGAUAACCUGACCCCCUUGCUGUACAGUGGGAAAAAAAAAAAAAAAAAAAAAGCAGCUAUAGUCACUUAUGUUUAUGUAGAACUCCAUUUCCACUAACUCCCUUUUCAUGACUGCAGAGGUAUCUGGGACUGUUAAUGGGCUUUAUUGCAGCUACAGUCCCUUCUGUUUGUCUGGAUUCCCAUCCAGUCCUAUACAAUUUGCAUUACCACAGAAUAUCUAAGGUAACUAGCUUAAUGAGCUUAAAUACAGCUACAAUCCUUUAUGUUAACCUAAAAUUCCAUCCCCACCUAAUUCUUUUAGGACGGCUGCUGAGAGUACAUGGGACUGUUAAUGGGCUAUUUUGCAACUACAGUCCCUUCUGUUAGUCUAGAAUCUGUUUCCAUCCUACUCCAUUUGCAUUACCCUAUAGCGUAUAAGGGACUGUUAAUGUGCUUAAAUGGAGCUGUGUAGUCCCUUAUCUUAACCUGGUAUCACACCCCAACUAAUUCUCUUUUCAUACUGCAGAGCCUACGUGGAACUUGUUAAUGGACUUAAUUGCACUGCUGUCCCGUCUAUUAGUCUAGGAGUCCACCCUUCCUACUCAGUUUACAUUACCCUAGAGUGUAUGAGACUGUUAAUGUGGUUAAAUGCAUCUGACUGUUAUGUUUACCUAUGAUCCCAUUCUCACAUAAUUCCUUUGCAAUACCGUAAAAGGUAAAAGGAAUGUUACUGUGCUUAAAAGAAGCUAUAGUCAUUUACAUUUAUCUAGGACCCUGUUCCCAUCUAACUGACUUUCAGUGACACAGGGGGCAGUUGGGACUGUUAAUGGGCUUUAUUGCAGCUAUAGUCCCUUGUGUUAAUCUGGAAUCACUUUCCUUCCUGCUCAAUUUGUAUUACAACUGAAGGGAACUGGGACUGUCAAUAUGCUUAGGUGCAGCUACAGAUCCUCACCUUAACCUAGGAUCCCGUUCCCACCUAACUAUCUUUUUGUUAAUGCAAAGCCUAUGUGGGACUUGUUAGUGGGCUUAAUCGCACUAUUGUCCCUUCUGUUAUUUUAGGAUCCCCUUUUCCUACUCGAUUUGCAUUACCUUAAGAUGUAUGAGACUGGAUUUGCUUAAAUGCAUCUACAGUUCCUAUGUUAACCUAUGAUCCCAUUCCCAUCUAACACCCUUUGCAUGGCUGCAGAGGGAACUUGGGAUAGUCAAUGGGCUCGAUUAGAGCUACAGUCCCUUCUGUUGGUUGAGAUUCCCGUUCCCUUACUCGUUUUGCAUUACCAAACGGGGGAAGAAAGGGCUGUUAAUAUGCUUAAAUGCAAUUACAGUCCCUUAUGCUAACCUGGGAUUCAUCCCCAAAUAACUCCCUUUUCGGGAUUGCAGAGGAUACUUGGGACUGUUAAUGGGCUUAACUGCAUCUAUAGUCUCUUCUGUAAGUCUAGAAUCUGUUCCUUUCCUACUUGAUUUGCAUUACUACAGAGGAUACAAGGGACAGUAAAGAGGCUUAAAUAUAGCUGCAAUCCCUUAUGUUAACCUAGGAGCCUGUCCACAGUUAUUUCCCUUUUCAUUAAUGCAGAGCCUACAUAGGACUUGUUAAUAGCCUUAAUUGCUCUACUGACCCCUCCCGUUAGUUUGGGAUCCCAUCCUCACCUAAUUCUCUCUGCAUUACCAGGGAGGAUACAAGGGACUCUUAAUGUGCUUAAAUGAAGGUACAGUCCUUUUUUUUAAACCUAGGAUUUCAUUCCCAUGUAACUCCAUUUGCACUACCACAGAGGGUACAAGGGGCGAAUGAGCCUAAAAGCAGCUACAGUCCCUUAUGUUAACCUAAGGAUCCUGUCUCCUAGGAACUCCCUUUUCCUGGCUGCAGAGGAUACUUGGGACUGUUAGUGAGAUUUACUGUAGCUACAGUCUCUUUUAUUAGUCUAGAUUCCCAUUACCAUCCUAGAUGUUUUGCAUUACCACGGACUAUACAAGGGACCAUUAUAGGGCUUAAAUGCAGCUCCAGUCCCUUAUUAACCUAGAAUCUCAUCCCCACCUACAGCCUUUUUCAUGCUGCAGAGGGUACUUGGGACUGUUGAUUGGCUUUAUUGCAGCUGCAGUCCCUUCUGUUAGUCUAGAAUCUGUUUCCAUCCUACUCCAUUUGCAUUACCACAGAGGGGACAAGGGACUGUUAAUGUGCUUAAAUAGAACCACAGUCCCUUAUGUUAAAUGAGGAUCCCAUCCCCAACUAACUCUCUUUUCAUUACUGCAGAGCUUAAGUAGGACUUGUUAAUAGACUAUUGCAUUACUGUUCUGUUAUUCUAUAGGUUCCCAUCCCUCAUUCUAUUUGCAUUACCCUAGAGUGUAAAGGGACUGUUAAUGAGCUUCUAUGGCUCUACAGACCCUUACGUUACCUAUGAUCUUUUUGCCACUUAACUCCCUUUUCAUGCCUAUAGAGAGUACUUGGGACUGUUAAUGGGCUUUAUUAUGGCUACAGUCCCUUCUGUUUGUCCAGAAUUUGUUACUUUUCUACUCGACUUGCACAGAUGGUACAAGGGACUGUUAAUGUGCUUAAAUGAAGCUACUGUCUCUUAUGUUUAAAUAAAAUCCCAUUCCCCACCUAAAACUCUUGCAUGGCUGUAGAAGGUACUUGGGACAGUUAAUGGCUUUAAUUAGAGCUACAGUCCCUUCUAUUGGUCAAUAUUCCCAUGCCCAUACUCCAUUUGCAUUACCAAAGGGAGUACAAGAGACUGUUGGUAUGCUUCAAUGCAAUUACAGUCUCUUAUGUUAACCUACGAUCUGAUACCCAACUAUCUCCCUUUUUAUUAAUGCAGAAGCUACAUGGGACUUGUUAACGGCUUUAAUUGCACUACUGUCCUUCCAUUAGUCUAAGAUCCCAUCCCCAACCUGAUUGCCUUUACAGUACCAACCAAGGAAGAUACAAGGGACUGUCAGUGUGCUUAAAUGCAAUUACAGUCCCUUUUAAAUUUUACCCAGGAUCCCAUUCCCCCUUAUCUCCCUUUUCAACACUACAGAGGGUACAAUUGACUUACUGUGCUUAAAAGAAGCUAUAGUCCCUCAUGUUAACCUAAGGAUCUCAUCCCCAACUAACUCUCCUUUCAUGACUACAGAGAGUACUUGGGACUGUUAAUGGGCUUUAUUGUAGCUAUAGUCCCUUUUGUUAGUCUAGACUACCAUUUACUACAUGAUUUGCAUUACCACAGAAUAUGCAAGGGACUGUUACUGCGCUUAAAUGCAGUUACAGACCCUUAUGUUAAUCUAGAAUCCCAUCCCCAACUAUCUCUCUUCAUUAAUGCAGAGCCUGCAUAGGACUUAUUAACAACCUUUAUUGCACUACAGUCUCUUCUGUUAGUCUAGGAGCACAUCCCCUCCUAGUUCCCUUUACAUUACUAAAGAAGAUACAAGGGACUGUUGAUGGGCUUAAAUACAACUACUGUCCGUUAUGUUAACCUAGGAUCCCAUCUCCACCUGAAUCCGUUUGCAUGACUGCAGAGGGACCUUAGGCUUUAUUACGGGCGGCUACAGCCCCUUCUGGUAGUUUAGCUUCUGUUGCUGUCCUACUGGAUUUGCAUUACUACAGAUGGUGCAAGAGACUGUUAACGUGUUUAUUAAAUGGAGCUACAGUCUUUUGGGUUUACUUAGAAUCCCUUUUCUCUAACCUAAAACCCUUUGCAUGACUGUAGAGGGUACUUGGGACUGUUAAUGGGCUUAAUUAGAGCUAUAGUCCCUUUUAUUUGUUUAGAUUCUCGUGCCUUCCUACUCUAUCUGCAUUACUAAAGAGACUGUAAUGCACUAUUUAUGUGCUUAAGUGGAGCUCCAGCUCUUGUGUUAACCUAGCAUCCUAUUUCUACCUAACUCCCUUUUCAUAACUGCAGAGCCUAUGUGGGACUAUUAGUGAACUUUACUGCAGUUACCUUCUGUUAGUGUAGAUUCCCAUCCUCUUUUAUAUGAUUUGAUAACCACAGACUGUACAAUGGACUACCAAUGUGCUUAAAUGCAGCUACAGUCCUUUAUGUUAAGCUAGAAUCCCAUUCUCACCUAACUCUUCUCAUUGAUGCAGAGCCUAUAUGGGACUUGUUAAUGGGCUUCAUUGCUCUUCUCUGUCCCUUCUACUAGUCUAGAUUCCCAAGCUCUCCUACUCAAUUUGCAUUACCAAGGGGGGUACAAUGGACUGUUAAUGUGCUAAAAUGCAGCUACAAUCUCUUACAUUAAUCUAGAAUCUCAUGCCCCAACUAACGCCCUUUGCAUGGCUUCAAAGGAUACUUGGGACUCUUAAUGGGCUGAAAUACAGCUACAGUCUCUUAUGAUAACCUAGGAUCCCAUUCUCACCUAUCUCCCUUUUCAUUGCUGCAGAGCCUGCAUGGGACUUGUUAAUGGUCUUAAUUGCACUGCUGUCCCUUUCGUUAGUCUAGGAUUCUAUCCCCUCAUAAAGAAUUACAUUACCGUAGAGGUUUCAAGGGAAUGGUAAUGUGCUAAAUGCACAUAGUCCCCCUCUUUUUGUAACCUAGGAUCCCAUUCCACCUAACUCCCUUUGCAUUAUCACCAACUGUACAAGUGACUGGUAAUGGGCUUAAAAGCAGCUAUUGUUAACCUAGGAUCCCAUCCCCAUUCAACUUCCUUUGCAUGAGUGCAGAGGACACUUGGGACUGUUAAUGAGUUGUAUUGCUGCUACAGUCCCUCCUGUUAUUCUAGGAUCCAUGCCUUUUUUGAUUUGCAUUGCAGGGGAGGGUACUAGGGACUGUUAAUGUACUUAAAUAGAGCUACAGUCCUUUAUGGUAACCAGGAUCUGGAUCCCACCUAACUGCCUUGUAUUACUUCAGGGCUUACAUAGGACUUUUUUAAUGGGCUUAAUUGCUCUGAUUUCCCUUCUUUUAGUCUAGGUUCCCCUCCCUCCUACUCUAUUUUCAUUACCCCAGAGUGUACAAGGGACUGGUAAGUAUGCUUAAAUGCAAUUAUAGUCCCUUCUGUUAGUCUAGGGUCCCAUUCCCACCUAAUUCCCUUUACAUUACCAAAGGAGAUACAAGGGACUGUCGUUGUGCUUAAGUGUGGGUACAAUCCCCAUUUUUUCUUUUUUUAGCCUAGGAUCCCUUUCCCACCCAAUUGCCUUUGGAUGACUGCAGAGAAUACUGGGGACUGUUAAUGGGCUUUAUUGUAGCCAUAGUCCUUUUUCUUAGUCUGAGAUCCCAUCUCCUCCUAAGUGAUUAACAUUACCCCAGAGUGUAUACAGGACUGGUACUUUGCUAAAUGCAAUUAUAGUCCCUUCUAUUAGUCUAGGAUCCCAUCCCCACCUAAAUCCCUUUACAUUAUCACAGGGGAUAGAUACAAGGGACUGUUGUGCUUAAAUGUAGGUACAGCCCCCCCCCCCCUUUUAACCCUAAGAUAUCUUUCCCACAUAAAUGCCUUUGCAUGACUGCAGAGGAUACUUGGGACUGUUAAUGGGCUUUAUUGUAGCCACAGUCUCUUUCCAUAGUCUGGGAUCCCAUCCCCUCUUAAAUGAUUUACAUUACUCGCAGAGGGCGCAAGGAACUGCAAAGGUGCUUAAAUGCAGGUAGUUGGUUUUUAAACCUAGGAUCCCAUUCCCAGCCUGACUUGCUUUGAAUUACUAAAGAGGCUACAAGGGACUCUUAUGUGUUUAAGUGCAGGUACAGUGCCUUUUGUUAACCUCAAAAUCCAUUCCCACCUAACUCCCUUUUCCUGACUGCAAAGGGUAAUUGGGACUGUUAACGGGCUGUACUGCAGCCACAUUCCUCUCAUAGUCUAGGAUCCCAUUCCCUCCUAUUUGAUUUGCAUUACCCCAGAGGGUACAAGGGACUUUUAAAGUGCUUAAGUGGGAGUUCCUGUCAUGGCACCGCGGAAACGAAACCAACUAAGAACCAUGAGGUUUGGGGUUCAAUCCCUGGCCUUGCUCAGUGGGUUCAGGAUCCAGCGUUGCCCUGGGCUGUGGUGUAGGUCGCAGACGCUGCUCGGAUCUGGCAUUGCUGUGGCUGUGGUGUAGGCUGGCAGCUGUAGCUCCAAUUCGACCCCUAGCCUGGGAACUUCAUAUGCCACAGGUGUGGCCCUAAAAAAAAAAGACAAAAAAAACCAAAAAAAACAAAAAAACCAAAGUGCUUAAGUGGCACUAUAGUCCCUUAUGUUAUCUAGGACCCCAUUCCCAUCUAACUUUUCAUGACUGCAGAGUGUACUUGGGACUGUAAAUGUACUUAACUGCCUAUACAGUCUCACCUCUUAGUCCAGAUUACAUGCCCUCCUACUUGAAUUGUAUUAUAACAGAGGGUACAAGGGACUUUUAAUGUGCUUUUUUAAAAGCAGCUAAAUUUCCUUACCAUAACCUGAAAAUCCAUUUCCAUCUCAAAAUCCACUCCCACCUAACUCCCUUUCCAUCACAGCAGAGGGUACUUGGGACUGUUAAUAGGCUUAAUUAAAGCUAUUCUCCCUUCUGUUGGUCUAGAUUUCCUUUCCCGCCUCUAUUUGGAUUGUACCUCAGUGUACAAUGGACUGUUAACUGUGCUUAAAUGCAGGUACAGUCCUUUUUUUAAAACCUAGGAUCCUAUUCCCACCUAACUCCCUUUGCUUUACUGCAGAGGGUACUUGGGGCUUGUUAAUAGGCUUAGUUGGACUACAGUCCUUUCUGUUAGUCUAGGAUCCCAUCCCCUCCUACGUGAUUUGCAUUUCCACAAAGGCUAUAAGGGACUGUUAAGGUGCUUAUUAAAUGCAAAUACAGUCCCUUAUGUUAACCUGGGAUCCCAUUCCCACCUAUCUCCCUUUGCAUGACUGCAAAGGUAUUUGAGACCUUUAAAGUAGUUAAUGGCUGCUGUAGCCUCUUCCAUUAUAAGUGUACUUUCCCAAGCACUCCAGCUCCAUGUAACCUGGGAGCACAUUUGGGGCUGUUAAUGUGCUCAUUUUUAGCUGUGGUCCCUUUUAUAAUUCUAGGAUCACAUCCCUUUCUGCUUCUUUGUGUUACUUGUUGGUAUUUGGGACAGAAAAGUACUUAAAUGCAGCUGUGAUCUAACUUAGGCUCCCAGCCCUCUAACUUUUUACAUUACCCCAGUGUAUAUUUGGGACUGUUAAAGUGCUUAAUUGCAGCUGUGGUCCCCUCUGUUAGUCUAAUUUCCUAAGCUCACCAAUUCCCUUUGUAUUACAGCAGAGGGUACUUGGGACUGUUAAAGUGUUUAUUUGCAGCUCUGGUCCCUUCUCUUAGUCUGGGGUCCAUGCCCCCAGCUUUGUUUGCAUUACCACAGAGGGUACUUGGAACUGUGAAUGUGCUUAAAUUCAGGUGUGGUCCCUUUUAAUUUAGGAUUCCUCAACUCCUUUUACCAGGGAGGGCAUUUGGGACUGUCAAGGUGGUAAGGGCACCUGCGUUCCUUUCUUUCUGUUCAUCUAGGAUCCCAUUCCCUCCUACUCCCUUUGUAUUGCAUGGGAGGAUUUGGGGGGCUCUUAAGGUGCUUAACUGCAGCUGUGGUCCCUCCUAUUAGUUUCCAAUCCCUUUCUACUCCCUUUGCAUUACCACAGAGGGUACUUGGGACUGUUGUAGUACAUCCCAUUCUCUCAUGCCUGUUAGCAUUACAGCACAAGGUCCUGAACACCACGGCCCUUUCUUUUGCACUGUUAAUGCACAAUUUCAUUUGUCCCUCAUCUUCUGCAGUAUUUAUAGACCUCACUCAUUUCCCUUGUAUUUAGUGGUGAAUGCCCUUUACUCAAGACCUGUGUACUAGGAUAGUUAAAGUGAGCCAUGGUAAUUGACCCCAAAUAAUGUCUUUCACUUAAGUCCCUUGUAUUCUUUGUUUUACAAGAAGAUGUAUUAAUUACCUCAGUUACUUCCUUCUGGGAGUGUUUACAUGCAAAAUUCCAGUGUUCAUGGCCCCUUUCUUUAAACUAAUACCCCUCCUUUUUUAUAUUCAGGGGAUGUUAGUGACCCAAAGUCCCUCUCUUGGGAUUCUAAUGUGCAUGUGCCCUCGUGAUAAGCUAAUACGUUGAGUUCAGGGAUUACUGACUACCCAAGUCUUUUUUUGGUGGGGGUGGGGGACAGUUAAUGUGCAAAAUUAUACUAGGAUCCCAUCCUAUCCCACCCCUUUUGCAUUUGGGGUGCUGACCAACUGUGGCUGCUUCUCCUGUACAGUUUAAAUGCACAUAAUUUCAGUAAUCCAUGCUCCCUUAUGUUAGACUAGAAUCCCAUUUUCUUGCCCCAUUUACAUUACUUUGGGAGCUUCUGAAUAGCCAAGAUUCAUUUUCUUGGACUGUUAAUGUGUAUACUGCCAUUUGCUCCUGUACAUCAGGUAAGGACCCUCUCCAUUCUAUUUAUAUUUCAGCAGGAGGUGCCUACUUCUUAAGAUUUAUAUACUUCUGCAGUUAAUCUGCAUAAUCUUAGUUGUCCUGUACACAUUCUCAAUUGUCCACAACUGCUUUUUAGGUUAGGACUCCUUUACUUAUUUAAGCACAGCAUACUGACUACCUUAAAGGCCUUGUCUUGGGACUGUUACUAUGUGUAAUUACAAUUGUCCAUGGUCCUUUGAGUUAACUUGUGUCCCAAUUUUCACACUCUCUUUACUUUAUUGCAAUGGGGUACUGUUCACUUAAGGCCCCUUUCUCAAACAGUAAUAUAUGUAAUGACAAUUACAUUAGGAUCCUUCCCCUUCACAUUCCCUUUGAAGUACCACAAGGAUUCUGAUCCCUAAGGUCCCAUUUCUUGACCUGUUAAUGUACGUGAUGUAUUUGUCUGGGUUCUUGUGCAUUCCUUUUCUCUUCCAGCAGGAAGUGCCCCCUCCACAAGACUGUUAAGUUUGGACAGUCAAGAUGCACAUUUGUAACUGACUGCAGCCAGUCACCUUGGAUGUUAAUGUGUAUAACUGCACAUGGCUCAUCCCAUAUGAAUAAGAUCCUACCCUCUCAGACCCCUUCUCUAGUAUAGCAAGGGUACUGAUUCCUAAGACCUCUUUCCAUGGCUAGUUAUUGUACAUAAUUUGCUUUUGUACAUGUUCCUGUACACUAAAUAAGGAUGCCCCUCUUCCCACUCCCUUUGUCUUUUACAGGGAGCGUACACUACUUUAAGAUCCUUAUAUUUAUUUGUACAAAGUACAUGAUUUUAAUUGACCAUACCAUACCCUUUGGACAUUAAUGUACAUAAUUACACCUUAAUUCAUCAUAUCCUUUUGCUCUCCAUUUGCAGUAUAUCAGGGUUUGUGACCCUAAAUCAGCUCUUUCCUUGGCCUAUUAAUGUGCAUAAUUGCAUUUGUCCAGGUUCUUGCACACUAGACAAGGACACCCCCCCACCCCCGCCAACUUCCUAUGCCUUCCGGUAAGUAGGUGGUUCCCACUGCUAAGACCUUUAUAUUUGGACAGUUAAUGUGCAGAAUUGCAGUUUUCCACAACCCAGUUACUUCCAGGACUGCUGUAUCUCCUUUGCAAUACCUCAAGGGAUACUGUUUUUCCCCAAGAUCGUUUCUUGUGGACCGUCAAUAUAUGUAAUUGAAAUGGUUGUCUUCAUCCAUAGACUGAGAUAAUAUCCCCUCAGCUAACUAUCAUGACCUCAGCUCUUGGACAAUUAAUAUUCACCAAUAACAUAUCAAAAGUACUGAUCAUUAGAUAGGACCCCUGUUCCCUUACUGUAUACAUCAGGGAUACUGACUAAGGCCCCCUUUUUUGACUGUUAAUGCGAAUAUUUGCAAUUAUCUAAUUCCCCUUCUAUUAGAGUAGGACAUUAUUUCCUUGCACCCCAUUCGGAUUACUGAAAGGGGCUGCUGACCACACAAAACUUCUACUGGGACUGCUGAUGAGCACAAUGACGAUGAGAAAUGGGUUUUUACUCCCUGGCCUUGUUGGGCAAGCGCUCCCAGCCCAGCCCCAAUUUCCCAUGGUAUAAUAAAGUAUAAAUACUGCAGUGUGCCAUGAACUUUCCAUCAAACAGCAGCCCAUACUCCCACUCUACUUGCAUUGGCUCCAGUGUAUCAAAUUCCAAAUAGCUAUGGUCUUGCCCUUAUGUUCCCUCUCCAUACCCUUUGCCUGCCCUUGGACCUUUCUUAUGGACUAUUAAUGCUCACAAUUUUCAGGUGUCCAUGUAUCCAGAUAAGAUUGUGCUCCCUUGCCCCUCCUGCCCCUUCCACCCCUGCCCUGCCCUUUUGCAUUGUUGCUGGGAAAUGUCCACUGGCAAAGCCCUUUUGUUUUUAAGACAUUAACAAUCCCAGAUGUCAUUGCUUUGCCCAUUUUGAAUUGCUGUAAUGCCUCAGUUACCCUUUCUUUGGUUCCGCCCAUCAGACAUGGACCCUUCCACUUCCUUCUUUGCAUUACUCCUGAGUAGUACUGACUACCCACAGCCCCUUCUGUGUUAUUAACACAGUAUUGAUUGUCCCAUUUUUUCAGCCCACCAGCCCAAGGUCUCCCUACCACUUUGAUGUUGUAUUUGUGCAGUAUUGACUACCAAAAGCAGACCUGAACUAUGUGGGUGGGCCUUCACUCCUUUUCCUGCAUUUGUUAAUGAUCCCAAUUCCAAUUAUUGUAACAUUCUGGGGACAGGAACCAUUCCUGCCCCUCUUUUACUGCUUUACUAGGCAAAAUUUUUAAGGCAAGUCAGACCCAAGGGAACUUGGAUUGCUACCCUGUAUUUAUUUAUUAUUUAUUAUAUAUAAGUAUCAAUUGAAAAUUAUCUCCCCAGGAAGGAAGUUUAGCAUUGUCUCUGCAUUCUUCCUUUCAGAGCAGAUUGCCUGGCUAAGAAUCUCUCUUGGCCUCUUGUAUAUUCCCAACAUGUAAUGCCAAUUGCCAGGAUACAACCAAAAAGUUGUUAUUUUUUAAAUUUUUUAAAACGUACAUCUGGUUUGCAAGGUGGAAUUGAUAACCUGGUCAUUGAAUUUUUGAAGUCUUAAAAACCCAUUUAUUCCAUGUAUCUGAUGACCAGUGUCUCUCAUUUACUAAGGGUGGUGGGUCUGUGGAUAGACGGCUGUGACUUUGAUAUUUUAGUAUUACUACCAAAGGAGUUCUAGAAUGGAAUUCUUAGGACAAGUAUCUUUGGGCUCUACCACCAUUUUGAAACCAUUCCUGUUUUGGCUAUACCAUUAUUCACUUUUAGAAAAACAACCUGAACUUCCUAAUCCUUAAAUUUCUUCAUCUGGAGCAUCAACCAGCCCCUGCUUAUUUCAAGAACAUUGCUAUAAAUGGAUAAAAUGAGAAAACAUAUCCUGAAGUGCUUUUUGGAAACUGUUGAUCACUUUGUUUGAUUAAUCUGUUAAAUAAAAUGCGUUACAUUAAAUUCUUAGCCUAAAGCACCACACUGAAGUGAGGGCUUAGAAAUGAUGGGACCAGUUUUCUGUUUUAUAUUAAAAUAAAAAUAAGCCAAGAUCUAGUCAUUCUUUUGGAUAUAGGUUUUCAGGAGUGAGAUAGCUGCCUGGUUAAGAUGAAUAAUAGCCUAGCUUCCAGUGUACAGGGUGUUUGAUGGCAGAGAAGUAUUAAUGUGGAACUGCUGAAGGAAAUAACUAGUUAUCACUGCAGCAGUUCCUUGUAAUCACUGAAAAGGAUACUCUUCUCUGAGAAGGAUGUCAAAAGAUCGGCUCAGCUCAGGGUGCAGUUUGCACUACUAGCUCCUUGGACAGCUGUAAGAAGAGUCUCUGGCUCUUUAGACUACUGGAUGAAUUCUGAGCCGGUACCCCCACCUCAAGAGGAAGGAUGGAUCAAUUUUAGGUGAAUUGAAGCCUAUACUAAACAGCCUCCAAAGGAUAUUCCAAGCAAGUGAGCCCUGAGACUGCAAGCAGCUCUAAGAAGUUCCGCAUUGAUCAGGUCUUCCCUUUUGAGAAUCUGGAUAAGCUCCAACCAAUCUAAAAGGAUGGUUUGCAGACUGUCUGGAGAAAAAGAUCUUCCUCAGAAGAAUAGGCUUGUUGCCUUACAGUGUUAGUGACUCAUUCCCUUUGAUGAUCCUUAGGUGGAGAUGGGGCAUGAGGAUCCUCCAGGGGAAAAGCUCACUACCACUGGGCAACAACCCUAGGUCAGGAGAUUCUACUAAGAUUCUUUCCUGGGUCCAGAUAGGAAGAUGAAGUCUCAAGACAACCACCACACAUCUGAGGAAAACAGGGACAACAACUGCCAUAUCUUACAUUCAUCAUGACAUUCAUCAUGAGCAGAUCAUAAUUCUGGACCCUUUGAUCCCCAAAGCCUCCCUUGAGGCCCUGUUGGAGAACUUCACCAAUCAUUUAUAUACUUCAAGAUGCCUUGGGAUAACUGGACAAAACAAAAAAACAACCUGUUUGAGAAGAUAAAACAGUUGUAUCUUUUUAUGCUGUGCCUGCUAAUUGAAAGAAGCCUCAUAACUAUGAAUGUGAACCUGACUAGGAAUGGAACAAAGUUAUCUAUCAUCAGCCUGGAUCUAAAGAAUCAGGACCCUGCAUACUCUAGCUCCUGAUUGUUCCCUUCAUAUUUGCCAAAUCGUUAUCUUUCUAAGAAGCAGUGUAGAGAGCAAGAAAUUUGAACACACCAAAGGAAGAUCAACAUGCCUGGCGGUCUGGCAUUUUAAAACAGGAUGAAUGAUUGUCUGCCUUUGCUUAUCUUAAACUCUUAAGUGUGUAUUUGUUUGCUUGUCUCUUUCUUUCUUCCUUGCGCAUCUUUGGUCUUUUUCUCUAAAUUGUGUCUUACCCAUUUCCAUGAUUCUUUUGCUAGUUUCUUCUCAGUAUAUCUUUGUCUCCUUUUUUGUACCUGAGUGUGCGGUCUGUGUCUCGUCUUAGAUGUCUCUCUCUAGUUUCUUUUUUUCAUUUUGUUAUUGAUUCUCCUUGGUCUCCUAGAUCUGGCUCUUUCACUGUUGUUCACUUUGUGUCUCUUGAGUCACAUACUAUGUGCUCUUUGCUCAUUUCUUGUUAUGCCUACCUUUCUUCUUUUUCUCUUUGUGAAUUCUGAUUGUCUGUUAUCCAUUCCCCUUCUUGUUCGUUUGACAUUUCACCUAGUCUAAUACUGGCUACCCUUUUGCUGUUUCUACUCCUGAUCUCACAUUUCUCUUUUCACAUAUUCUUUUUGCCUCUCUUGGGCCAUUUUCUCUUUUUCGUGCUUUGUAUGCUUCUGUGUCUCUUUGUGCUUUGUGAUUUUCCAUUUCAACAUCCAUCUCUCUGUUCUCUUAUUUCUUCUCUACUUUUGACUUCCUAUUCACCUUUGAGUAUUUUGGCCUCUUCUUGUGUCUAUGUCUCCCCUUUGAUUACAUGCAAUUCUCUCGCCUUGCACAUUUUCUAUGUAUGUGUGUGGGCUCUUGUGUGUUUGUAACAAAGGGGCUUCCUAACCCCUUCUCAGUAGGUGCAAGAGUGUCAGCUUACCAAAAUAAGCAUUGCAGAGCUGUUCCUUAUGCCAGACCAUGCUGUGAGAUGCUGUGAGAUUGUGCUGUGAAAUGAUCCAAGACCAAUAGAAGGCCCAAGAUCUGGACUGGAGUUGGAUGGAAGGCUAAAGUCUCAGUGAAACUGAAGGCCAAAGACCUAAGACUCAAGCCUGUGUAUAUGGACAGAAGGCCCAAGAGAGACAGAUAUCUCAAGACUAAAUUAAGUGGGAAGCUCAAGGUCCAUGGCCCAGAAUCUGGGAAUGAUAGAAGCACCAAGACCAAGGGAAAUUACAAGAUGAUAACCCUAAAUCCCAGCUCUUUUCUAUUGUUCUCCUCCCUACUCUUGGAUAUUUUCACUUCUUCCUUUCCUGUUCUUAUACCACCAUUUAAACCCACUUUUGUGAUGUUCUUUUUGAUGUUGCUGUUACCUUAAAGUUAAAGAAACAUAUCUUCAAAUCAACAGUAUUAUGCCUGGGCCAGUCUUAAACCAGUUUUUUUAAACUUCCAUUUCUCUUCACCUCCACUCCACUUGAGAGACACAUAGGUGACAUUAUAUUUCAGUCCUCUCUUUUCCUCAGAUACUCUAGGCUAAUGAGAAGAGGAAAGUAUCAUGCUGUUGAGGGGGAAAAAAUGUGCCAGGCUAUCUAGAGAAAAUAUGAAGAGAUGCUCCAGGCCAAUGAGAAGAAUUAGACAGGAAAUACACAGAUGCGCCAGCCUGCUGAGAAGCAUCAGCCAGCAACACCUUACUCCUUUGAGCUUAGGUGAGCAGGAUUCCUGAGGUUUGGGUACUAGUGAUGGUUAUGAAAAAGGAAAUUGGGUCUGGGACAGAGUGAGGGAGGUCCCAAGGAGAUAGCCUGAACUCCCUGCUCAUAGUAGUGGCCUAAUAAUUUGGCAAACUGCACUAACCUUGCGCCUGGUUUUAAUACCCACCUCUAGGCUUAAAGUUGAAAGAACUUACGCGUAUUUAGCAGGUUUAAUACUUUCCUUCAUUUCUUUCCUCUUACCAUGAGGGAAGAUAAUUUAAAUGAAAAUAUAUGUGAAACCUUUGUAAAACACAAAAAAACAAAGCAUUCUCAUUAAUAACAUAUUGGCAUUUGUGCACAGCAAAGAUUUGGAAAUGUACUGUCAGUUGUGAAGUACUAUGUAAAUCAGGGGUCAUCAUAUGCUUUCUGUAAAAGAUCAGAAGGUAAAUCUUGAGGGCCAUAUGGUUUCCUGCUUUAAAAAAACAAGUGAAUUUGGUCUGUGGGCCAUAGUUUAUUACCCCUGAUGUAAUUGCCAGGGACUGUGUUCUGAAAUUAAUUCCUUCUCUGUGCCUGUCCCUGUAUUAGGCACUAAGGAUGUAAUGAUUACUUAUGAUCAUAUCUAGGUGAUCCAAAGAAAAGUAUGUAAAUGUGCUUUGUAAACUAUAAAGCACUUAAAGACUGGUAAAUGAACUCUGAUUACAUAGUAUAUACAAGCCAAGCAAUGUAUAUACAGUGUUAGGCACUGUGGAUACAAAAACCUGAGGGAUUUAAGAUAAUUGUGAACACUUAUAAUGUGCCAGAUAACAUUCUAGGCAUUACAGAUGUCAAAGGAAAAAACAAGUUCUCAUUACAGAAUUAAAAUUUUUACAUAGGAAGUACAUAUUAAAGUGCUUUGUAGGAGUUCCCGUCGUGGCUCAGUGGUUAAUGAACACGACUGGCAUCCAUGAGGACACAGGUUCAAUCCCUGGCCUCGCUCAGUGGGUUAAGGAUCUGGUGUUGCCGUGAGCUGUGGUGUAGGUCGUAGAUGCGGCUCAGAUCCCUCGUUGUUGUGCCUGUGGCGUAGGCCAGCAGUUACAGCUCCAAUUCAACCCCUAGCCUGGGAACCUCCAUAUGCUGCUGGUGCAGCCCUAAAAGACAAAAAGAAAAAAAAAAACAACAAAAAAAAAUAAAGUGCUUUGUAAACUAAAGCACCACAUAAGUACCAAUGGGCUAUAUAUGUUUACGAAUGAAUAAACAAAUAUUAAUUGCCUUAUAUGUGCCAGCUAUUAUUUCAGGUACUGUGAAAUCUAAGAUAAUACUCCCAAGUAAUAAGAGGGAGGUUUAUGUCUUACACUACAGAGGUAUAAGAAUUAGAUAUUGCUUAUUUUAGUCAAUCAAGACUUUACCAGUGAGGUCAGAUUAAAUUAUUACCAGGAUGUUUUCCCAGGUAACAGGAAAAUGUAAUGAAUGAGAUUGAGUUUUCUAAACUAUAAAAUGCUUCAUAAACAUAAGACAUUAGAUGUUUUCUAUGUGAAUAAAACUUAUGUGAGGCAGGCAUUAUCUCUACAAAAUUCUCAUUGUGUGCGUAACCCACUACGAGAAAAAUUGUAUAAAUAUUUAUACAAACUGUUUAAAUACUUAAGUGAAUUAAUUAUUCAUAUCAAUUGCCUACUAUGUGAACUCACUGUUAGAGGCAUGAAAGAUAUGCACACAUUUAUCAUUUUAUUGUGCCUGUAAAUGAGAAUAAAGUAAUACAUAUGUUAGCAUUUUGUGAACUCUAAAGCACCAUGUAAAUAUAACUAUUGAUCUUCUUAUUUGGUGUGCCUGUACUAGUUUACAAAAUUGCAUCAUAGUUAUACUAUGAAAAAGAGAAAAAAAAUUGAGGAAGGAUUUUUUUACUCUUGAACACUUUGAAUAUGAUAUUUAAAGGAUUAAAUGCCUGAUGAAUGAAAGACUAAAUAAUAAUUUUCUAUUAUGUGCCAGUCUCCUGAAUCAGGGCUGUGAAGAUAAUCCAUUGUUUUAUUGUGUUCUAGGUAGCAGAAUGUAAUGUGUAAAAUCAAUUUGUAAGUCUUAAACUGGCAUACAUUUCUGCUGAAUGAACAUUGAUUAGUUACUCUUUCUUAUCCCCAGAGAUAGCAAGUGGGGAUGCUAAAUUCAUUGUCAUUGUCACUGAACCUGCAACAGAGAUCUGUGUGUAAAUUUACAAAGCCUAUUGAUCUAUACAAAUAUUAGGAAUUAACUGUUGGCUCAAUGAGUGAUUACCAGUUACUUUCUAUGAGGCUCAGAACUGCACAUGCUCUAGGAUAUGAAAAUGAUAUCCUUAUCUGAUGUUCCCUGGAGGAAAUGAGGUAAUAGGUGUGGGAAUCUAGACUGAAAGUUACUUAAUCACUGCCAAGCUUAUUUGAUGGCAAAAACAUAGGAAAAAUGGAAUUGUGCAAGGCAGUAUGCUUCUGAAUGCUGAGCUAGGUGGAAAGAAAAUCCAGACCAGAAGGCUACUUGCUCCUUUGCCUGAUUGACGAGAUGGGAUUUUUUUCUUUAAGCAAGAUGUUGUGCUUGUUUUUAAAUUCUAAAGAUGGAGGUGAAUGAGAUCCACCCUGACAUGGCAUUAAAGGAGUAAAAAUUAAUGGCUCAAGUUGCUUUUAGAUUAAUUUGAUAAACAGUAUCUUUUAUGUGGAAUACAUUGUUCUAGGUCCUGAGCAUAACAGAAAUGAAAGGGGCCUAGUCUAAAGGGCAUUAGGUAGAUAACAAAUCAUGGCUGAAAAUUCAGAAAUGUCUUUGAUUUCUGGAAAUAUUUGAGUGCCUCUGGAAGAAUUUGUUGAUUAGAUCUGAUCCAAAAAAACCUAUUGACUUGCCUUGGAAAUUGAAAAAAUAGGGAAAAAAAGAUAUGAUUCUGUCAAUGUAAAAUGACAUUUUUCCUAGAUCUGGAAAGUCCCAGUGUCACUUGGUCAUUGACAUAGAUUGAAGCCAGAAGAUUGAUAAAAGAGCUCAUGGUUUGACCUUUAAUUCUUUAACAUUCUGCUUUUAUUAUGGUUAAAUGGUUUAUGAUGAAAAUCAAGCUGAAACAACUAGUUCUAAAAGUGUUUUGUUUUGUUUUUUUUUUUUUUUUACUCAUUGGUCUGCCAGAGAGUCAGAAAGCCACUUAACUAAAAACUAAAAAAAAAAAAAUAAUAAAAACUUCCUAGAUUUUUCAUAUUUUGUAAAAAAACUAGUCACUUGAGUGAAGUACUGUUCUUAAGUACCAAGAAUGAAGAUUUUCAAGAUCUAGAUCAAAAUAUAAUUUUGGUAGCUUAUAGAGGAAACAUAAGAACAAAUUUAAUAAGAGACUGAAGUUCUUUCAUUAGUUGAAAAACUUCAUUGAGCAGCCAUGAUAUUAAGAAACUGAAAUGGAAUGGUUAAGUAGACACCUUCUGCUUGGCAUGUGUGGUAGCGUAGGAAUAAGAGACCUUUGUGUUUACUCAUUCAUGUAAACACUGAAGAAGAUGAUGCUAAAUUAAAUAGAUGUGGCACAAAAGCACUUAGUCUUGGAGAUGUAGUUAAAAACAACAGUAAGAAGAAAUGGAGUGAAACUCUUCAUGAAACAGAAAUGUCUAUUUCAAGGCAUUGUGUGAUACUCCUAGACAGAAAACAAAAGAUCUUGACUGAAAGAUACUUGCUUGGCUUGGAAACUGAAAUAUAAGAGGAGAGGUUACUGUUUAUUCAUAUUUUCAUUUAUUUGUUCAUUCUGCCAGUAUAUUUGAGUGCCUACUGUGUGUAAGCUUUCUUGGCUAGUUUCUUAGUUGGCCCCAGAGACAUGAAAAAAUGAAUGUCUUCCAAGAGAACUUAGAACUUUAAAAACUUGCCUUUUGGCCAGUUUUCUGGUUAGGGGCAAGGCUUAGUUCCUCACUAACAUUGUGUAGCUUAAUUCUUGCUCCAUAUUUCCUCUGCUACUCUGGCCACUACAAUAAGCAGGGAUUUCUAUUGCGCUUGCUCCUUCCUUAACAAUAGUACUUCAUUUUUCCUAGUCCAUCCUUAAUGAAAAAUGGCCGUGAACUUUGGUGGGCAGGAGAGAUGAGAAACAAUUGAUUCCCUAACUCUAGUCUCAUUGGUACCAGCUUUUGGGAACAUUCAUAUUCAAGCCACAACUGGUUUUGAAACACAUUUACCAGUUUUGAUGAUUCUCAGUUCACCUUUUAUAUUAUGGCAAAUGUAUUUUUAAGAGACAAUCCCCCAAAAGUACAUAACAAGUUUGGAGAUGUUUUGGUUUUGCAGUAGCUUCUCACCUUACACUUAGAAAUCUUUUCCUUCUCACCAUCAAAACCUGCUUAAGAAAGGACUUAUUAUUUGUAACAGAAUAGUGCAGAGAAUGAAAAUAACAAUUUUAUUCUUAAGUUUUAGGAAUAAUAAAAAUUGGAAGUAAUUGGAAAAAAUUGGAUAGAAGAAAUACCCCCACCAAAAAAAGUCUAAAUUUUGACCCAAAUGGGCUUUGGCCUUUUCUAUUUUUAAAUCACUCAGAGAGGGUGGGAUAGGAGGAAGAGUGAAAGAAAAGGUCAGACCUAGUUCGAUGGGCAACCUGCCUUUGUUCUGGAUUGGUCUUAAAAGUAUUACUACCUCCAGAUCUAACUUGGGGGAUUGCAUCUUUAGUUUAAAUGCAACUCCAGCAGAGAGGGUGGGAUAGGAGGAAGAGUGAAAGAAAAGGUCAGACCUAGUUCGAUGGGCAACCUGCCUUUGUUCUGGAUUGGUCUUAAAAGUAUUACUACCUCCAGAUCUAACUUGGGGGAUUGCAUCUUUAGUUUAAAUGCAACUCCAGUAACUGGUCACUAUUAAGAUGAGGACAAAUUCCUUUGUUCCCCCUCAUUUCUAUAUGUUUUUGAGAAACAUUUUUUGUUAAUGGCUGUCAAUUAAGCCUUGUGCUAGAUGUUAUGAAGUUGAUUAAUUAAAUCAAUGUAGUCUUAAGCUAAAGCCGAAAUUCAUUGCAAAAGAAGAGGGCUUUUUUGUUUACUGUAAGUCAUACAUAUUUCAUACAUAUUUCAAAGCAUCCAAACUUUAGUUUACAUGGCAAGCCAACAGUAACAUCUGUGAUGGAGAAGGAAAUAGAUGAAUGGCGAAGGAUAGUUGCUGGAGGGAGCAAAGUUGAAGAGGAUUUUCUGACAUGUUAAUAAUGUUUAAUAAAAAAAAUAAUGUUUAAUAUAUGAUAUCAGCUGGAUGCAGUUAUUCCUCUUUCUUGAGGUGGGGGUGGGGGUGCAUUAUUGGAAAAGUGGAAAGGAGAAAGUAACUAAAAGCCUUCCUUUCACAGUUUCUGGCAUCCAAGACUACCACUACUGAUAAACAAGAAUAAGAGAACAUGCUAUCAUCUGAUUUUUGUAGCAUAAAUGAAGUUGUGAACAAAUCUUUUUUUUUUUUUAAAGAGAAUGGCUUCAUCUCUAUUCUUUCACCUACCUCAAAGGGAAUCUAUGCCAAAAUACUCCAGUGAAUGCAAGACACACUGGACUUGUGAACUGAUGUGAAACAUAGAAUCUCUGAGCCUUGGUUGUUUUGAAGAUUGAAAAAUUUUGUUCAACAUGGAUGACCACCAAAAAUCAAUGUAAACUUGUCUAUGUGCCACAACUGAGACAAAUUGAAGAGUUUGUUGUUUAAUGUCAAAUAAAAUACUGUUUUUUGAAAACUUA